rnacentral:rRNA from 1 species
AUGGUGCCAUUGUUAAAGCCUGUUGCUUCCUUGGACCUGCAUUGUUGCAGGCAAUAUUUUGUCAAUGAAGAUGACACCGUACCACAAAAGGUUGUUGUUCGAAAGAAUAGCCGCCGGGGGGUUCACUUCGGUCGUGCUGGACCCCGUCAGAGGGUCAAUUUUGAGUCAGAUGAAGUGAAAGCAUGCAUUAUAAGUUGUGGAGGCCUUUGCCUUGGGCUCAACACUGUUAUCAGGGAGCUGGUGUAUGGCUUGGCGCACAUGUACAAUGUCAACAACAUCUAUGGAAUACUGGUUAAUUAA